rnacentral:rRNA from 1 species
CCUACGGGAGGCAGCAGUAGGGAAUCUUCCACAAUGGGCGAAAGCCUGAUGGAGCAACGCCGCGUGGGUGAAGAAGGUCUUCGGAUCGUAAAACCCUGUUGUUAGAGAAGAAAGUGCGUGAGAGUAACUGUUCACGUUUCGACGGUAUCUAACCAGAAAGCCACGGCUAACUACGUGCCAGCAGCCGCGGUAAUACGUAGGUGGCAAGCGUUAUCCGGAUUUAUUGGGCGUAAAGGGAACGCAGGCGGUCUUUUAAGUCUGAUGUGAAAGGCUUCGGCUUAACCGGAGUAGUGCAUUGGAGACUGGGAGACUUGAGUGCAGAAGAGGAGAGUGGAACUCCAUGGGUAGCGGUGAAAUGCGUAGAUAUAUGGAAGAACACCAGUGGCGAAAGCGGCUCUCUGGUCUGUAACUGACGCUGAGGUUCGAAAGCGUGGGUAGCAAACAGGAUUAGAUACCCCUGUAGUC